GACGAACGCUGGCGGCGUGCUUAACACAUGCAAGUCGAACGGAAAGGCCCUGCUUUUGUGGGGUGCUCGAGUGGCGAACGGGUGAGUAACACGUGAGUAACCUGCCCUUGACUUUGGGAUAACUUCAGGAAACUGGGGCUAAUACCGGAUAGGAGCUCCUGCUGCAUGGUGGGGGUUGGAAAGAUUCGGCGGUUGGGGAUGGACUCGCGGCUUAUCAGCUUGUUGGUGGGGUAGUGGCUUACCAAGGCUUUGACGGGUAGCCGGCCUGAGAGGGUGACCGGCCACAUUGGGCCUGCGAUACGGCCCAGACUCCUACGGGAGGCAGCAGUGGGGAAUAUUGCACAAUGGGCGGAAGCCUGAUGCAGCAACGCCGCGUGCGGGAUGACGGCCUUCGGGUUGUAAACCGCUUUCGCCUGUGACGAAGCGUGAGUGACGGUAAUGGGUAAAGAAGCACCGGCUAACUACGUG
rnacentral:rRNA from 1 species